UACGUAGGGGGCGUGCGUUGUCCGGAGUUACUGGGCGUAAAGCGCACGCAGGCGGUCUGCUAAGUUUGGAGUGACAGUUGGUGGCUUAACUGCCAAAGUGCUUCGAAAACUGACAGACUUGAGGGCUUCAGAGGGACACGGAAUUCCGGGUGGAGUGGUGAAAUGCGUAGAGAUCCGGAGGAACACCAAAGGCGAAGGCAGUGUCCUGGGGAGUACCUGACGCUCAGGUGCGAAAGCCAGGGGAGCGAACGGG
rnacentral:rRNA from 1 species